UACGAGGGGGGCGAGCGUUGUUCGGAAUUAUUGGGCGUAAAGGGUGCGUAGGCGGUUCCGCAAGUCCUGUGUGAAAUCUUCGGGCUCAACUCGAAGUCUGCACGGGAAACUGCGGGGCUUGAGUGUGGGAGAGGUGAGUGGAAUUCCCGGUGUAGCGGUGAAAAUGCGUAGAUAUCGGGAGGAACACCUGUGGCGAAAGCGGCUCACUGGACCAUAACUGACGCUGAUGCACGAAAGCUGGGGGGAGCAAACAGG
rnacentral:rRNA from 1 species